rnacentral:lncRNA from 1 species
GGAGAGUUAAAGAUUUGUCCACCAGUGAGAACACGUGUGCAUUGCAGUAGGGGAGCUUCUGAAUGCCUUGCUUUACUCAGGGAUUCCAGAGUCCCAGCAGGGGGCGGAGGAAGAAGAACAGACUCCUAGAGAGGAAGAAACUUUGACCUCAAAAAUGAAGAAACAGGGGACCAAAAGGAAGCUCAUGACCAAGAUUCUUAAGUCAGGUUGCCUGACCCGAAUUCCUGAGUUCUUCCCCCACACCAGCAACCUGGAACUUCUAGAAAAAG